rnacentral:rRNA from 1 species
AGUGAACGCUGGCGGUAGGCCUAACACAUGCAAGUCGAACGGCAGCACAGUAAGAGCUUGCUCUUACGGGUGGCGAGUGGCGGACGGGUGAGGAAUACAUCGGAAUCUACUUUUUCGUGGGGGAUAACGUAGGGAAACUUACGCUAAUACCGCAUACGACCUACGGGUGAAAGCAGGGGAUCUUCGGACCUUGCGCGAUUGAAUGAGCCGAUGUCGGAUUAGCUAGUUGGCGGGGUAAAGGCCCACCAAGGCGACGAUCCGUAGCUGGUCUGAGAGGAGGAUCAGACAAACUGGAACGGAGACACGGUCCAGACUCCUACGGGAGGCAGCAGUGGGGAAUAUUGGACAAGGGGCGCAAGCCUGAUCCAGCCAUACCGCGUGGGGGAAGAAGGCCUUCGGGUUGUAAAGCCCUUUUGUUGGGAAAGAAAAGCAGCAGGUUAAUACCCCGCUGUUCUGACGGUACCAAAAGAAUAAGCACCGGCUAACUUCG